GGAUGUGAGGGGGAUCUGGCUGCGACAUCUGUCACCCCAUUGGUCUCCAGUGUUGAUUCAGCCGAUCUGGAUGGCUAGGCAGAUGUCCCCUUCCCCCCUCAACGAUCCAUGUGUGUCCCUCCCAAAGCUUUGUGCUUGGUCUAAGAGGGUGACCAUCCCUGCGAGAGGAGGACCAUUCUUGGUCAAGGAUAUAUGAAUAGCUGCGCUCCCCUGCCAGAACCUCCAAACAAGCUCACAUCAACAUUCCCUUAGUCUCUGCUCACCUCUUUUUUCUGAAGACCAUGACAAGUGCCCCCUU
rnacentral:sRNA from 1 species